GAUGAACGCUGGCGGCGUGCCUAAUACAUGCAAGUCGAGCGAACAGACGAGGAGCUUGCUCCUCUGACGUUAGCGGCGGACGGGUGAGUAACACGUGGAUAACCUACCUAUAAGACUGGGAUAACUUCGGGAAACCGGAGCUAAUACCGGAUAACAUGUUGAACCGCAUGGUUCAACAGUGAAAGACGGUCUUGCUGUCACUUAUAGAUGGAUCCGCGCCGCAUUAGCUAGUUGGUAAGGUAACGGCUUACCAAGGCAAUGAUGCGUAGCCGACCUGAGAGGGUGAUCGGCCACACUGGAACUGAGACACGGUCCAGACUCCUACGGGAGGCAGCAGUAGGGAAUCUUCCGCAAUGGGCGAAAGCCUGACGGAGCAACGCCGCGUGAGUGAAGAAGGUCUUCGGAUCGUAAAACUCUGUUAUUAGGGAAGAACAAAUGUGUAAGUAACUAUGCACGUCUUGACGGUACCUAAUCAGAAAGCCACGGCUAACUACGUG
rnacentral:rRNA from 1 species